GACGAACGCUGGCGGCGUGCUUAACACAUGCAAGUCGAACGGAAAGGCCUCUUUCGGGGGGUACUCGAGUGGCGAACGGGUGAGUAACACGUGAGUAACCUGCCCUUGACUUUGGGAUAACUUCAGGAAACUGGGGCUAAUACCGGAUAGGAGCUCCUGCUGCAUGGUGGGGGUUGGAAAGUUUCGGCGGUUGGGGAUGGACUCGCGGCUUAUCAGCUUGUUGGUGGGGUAGUGGCUUACCAAGGCUUUGACGGGUAGCCGGCCUGAGAGGGUGACCGGCCACAUUGGGACUGAGAUACGGCCUAGACUCCUACGGGAGGCAGCAGUGGGGAAUAUUGCACAAUGGGUGGAAGCCUGAUGCAGCAACGCCGUGUGCGGGAUGACGGCCUUCGGGUUGUAAACCGCUUUCGCUCAUGACGAAGCUUUGUGUGACGGUAGUGGGUAAAGAAGCACCGGCUAACUACGUG
rnacentral:rRNA from 1 species